GCCAGACAGCCGGGAGGCGGAGAUGAAAGGGGCAGGCGGCCCCGCCCUGCUGCAGCCCCCGAGAGGUCGGAGGCGCGGAGCCAGGGCUGACCCUGUGCACUGGGUCGGGGGCCAGGCCGCGUCUCAGCCUGCGCUGGACCCACCACCCGGGCAGAAAAGUGACAUCAGAACCUUAGGCUCCGUUGUCAACCACGGUGACUGAUGUCACCUCGUUUGCACAGGGAGGAAGGUGUGGCCCAGCGAGGCGUCCUCCCGUCCUAGUCAGGGUCUGCUCUGGGUGGGAGGGAUUGUGGGACCCCCUCUCCAGUGGCUGUCACAGCCUAAGCUGGUGAGCUGUUUCUAGCCAGAGUGCCCCUUCGGUGAAGUCUAAAGCCACGAGAUGACAACGGCAGCUGCCGUGUAUUGAAAAGCACGUGCCAGGCCAUCCUGGACUUACCCGUAAAUGUGUUAUCUCAGUAAUUCUGGCAGCUAUAUUAACGUGCAUGCCAGCCCCUUUCACAGAUGAGGGGCCGAGGUCAGAGAAGCAGCUUGCCAGAGGCUCUGAAGGGCAAAGGGGCACAGCCUAGAUUUGUACCCAGAUCCCUGAUUCUGAAUCUCAGCGGUUAGCCUGUGCGCGGACCCGGCAUCCUGUGGUAAUAGUUACCCUUCAAUAGGUGUAGCUGCUUGUCAGCUCCGUUGAUUACCUUAGCUCACUGCUGCCUCCUCGAGUUGGAAGACCUGCUUACCCAGAGCUAAGCCCCUCUCCCAGCAUCCCUGAGCUUGACCCAAGUUCCCUGGAGAUUCCCACCCACCUGUUACCCCAGAUCUCCCAAUACUGUGCCUCCCUUUGCUUGAGGUGGGAAAGGAUGCCCUCUGCCCAGGAUCUGAAUGGCCGGUGUGUAGCGCCAAGCCUGCUGGGCCUGUGGUGGCAGAGCUGCAAGUGCACGACAGAACACACCCAGGGUGCUCACACACAGUGCCAAGCCGGCCCCCAGGGUGCUCACUCACAGUGCCAAGCCGGCCCCCAGGGUGCCGAGGCUGCCUCUCCCCUCUGUACCCCGCCCUCCCUUGUAAUGCAGAGGAGGCAGUCUGGCGUUUUCUGGCAGAGGGGGAAAGUCUUGACUUUCCAGGUAGGUGUAUGCUGGACGUCAGCAGCAGACAGGGCACCCCAGCACAAUGAGCCCGCAGCAGUCCAGACUUUCUAGCCUCCAAGUGUACCUCAGAGCGGAAGCUGCGCAUUUGAUUUGCUUUUGGCUCCGUAUUAAAGAACAAAGCAUGGAAACUGGACAGGCCCCUCUGUAAACAGAAAACACAUGUUUUCUGAGAGAAUGGGCACUUCCUCUCCUGGUUUCAUCUCCCAUGGACAGAGGUCUCCUUAGGCCCGCUGACUUCAAGACCAGGGAGGCUGCGGACAGAGGGCUGAGGGGAGGUGGUGAUUCUUCUUUGCUCAACUCAGGGAGCAGACACUCGCCUUCUUGAAUGGGGGCAAAGACAAGUGCUAGAGGUCUGCUUGGCAGUGGGGUGUGGUCUGAGGAGGGAGGCCCCUCAGAGACCUGAACAGGAAGUGGGGGUCUGGACCAUUUGUGUCCUCCAAGCACACUAGAAUCGUUUAGGGUUCUACCCGAACUAGCUCCAGGUGAACGUGUGUUCUUUGGAGCCUGCUAGCCACAAAUGGGCAGAGACCUCUAAUUCAGAUGAGAAGUCUGUGUCUGCAAAUAAUGGGCAUUCUGGCUGAAUACCCACUGCUGUGUGGCCUUGGGCAAGUUUCUUAACCUCUCUGGGCCUCACGUUUCUCAUCUGUAAAAGCAGGAUAACAGUAGUUAUUUAGGAUUACAUAAGAUCAUGGAAAUAGCCCCAUUGGACACAUAACUAGGAGCUAAUUAAUAAGUGAGCAAAAUCAAAUAUUGUCUCUGUUUCAAUGCUGAGCUAUUGUAGAGUGGCUCAGGAAUCCUCUACAGACUCCCAGGGUGCCCGUACUCCAAAGAGCACCUCCUCUUCCCCUGCCUUCUGUUGAGCACAACCACUCCCAGGCUUCUGUGACACCUUUCUGGAAGCAGCCAUUUUGCAGAGAGAUCAUCCUUUGAAUCUCCCCAGCAGCCUGAACUUUGUCCUUGAGGGGAGAUUUCAUUUGGGGAAAUCAUCAGACAUCCUUUAGGAUAAGUCUGCUGAAUGGAUGCUCAGAAGCCAAGCCAGGGCCUCCUGUCCGGGUCAGUCUGGCCUCAUGCGCUGAAGGCAGUAUAGAAAGGAUCUGGACUGGAUCAUCGCCACUGGUGUUGCUGCAGCAGGCCAGAGACAUGGUGCUGGGCCCCGGGACAGGGUGGUGAGGACAUCCCGGUUCCCACGAAAAGCAACCGCCUGGCAAGGCUGGAGCAGACAAAGAGGGAGUGAGGGGGUGUGGCUCGCUCCCCAAGUUUUUUGGCUCAGCUUCAGUGCUGGGUCAUUCUUGGGGACUGCUAUACCCACUGGGCACUGCAGAACCUCUGGUGCUUGUGGCACAGGGGAGUCGGGAGGAGCCCUGUCCCGGGACCAGACCUUCCCGUUUGGAGUACUGGGACCCAGUGGCCCUGUGCACCUUUCCUGAAGCUUCUGGGCCCCCAGUGGUCGAAUGCAGAGUGAGCUGGGGAGUCACAGACUGUGCUUCCUGCCUUCAUCCUCCGUUCCAGGUUCCUGUGCAUUCGUGGGCCCAUCCACCUGCCUGGGCUUGGCUAGGCUGUGACCUUCUCUGAGGACAGGGCUCUGCCUGCAUUUGGAGCUGCUGGGACCUCAGUGUCACCCCCCACUCUCGCCAGCUGGCCUCACAAAGGUGCCCAGGAGGAGACCUGAUUGCCGGCUCCUUUCCCCUCCCUGGCUGAGCAGAUUCUACAACAGCCUGUGGAAAUUAAAAUAAGAGCCUAAAACUGUCAAAAAAAAUUUUUUUAACCAAGUCACAAAUGGGAAAGCUGAGGCGGCGGCAGGUUAAGGACACGUUGUGAUGUCGCGUUCUCUCCCAGUGCUUUCGUACUGUAAACAUCACAGUCCACGGUCCCUGUGAACAGGCAGCCACAGAGACUGGGUUUAGAGUUGCCGGGGGAAGGCUGCAUCCAAAGUGUGGCCGGCUCAGAACUAUUCCACCACAUGGGGGGUCAUUAGUUCUGCUCAGUUCUGUGGGGCCUCACUAGUGUUUCCAUUUAAAAAUAAGUCAAGGUAAAAGAAAAAGUUUUAAAAUGUAACAGUCAUGUAUCUAUUUCUGUAAUUGUAAAGAAAUACACUGUGACUGCUGGAGGCUCUGGAGCAGAGGACCUAGGAGAGAAUGUUUUCUUUUUCUUUCUUUCUUUUUUUCCCCCCCCGAAUUCUCCAAACCAUCUGUAACAGUGUGUAUUGCUUUUAUAAUGGGAAGAGAUAAAAUAUACUUACAUUAAAAAUAAUCAAAGUGCACCUGAGCCUACAUGUCAAAUGAUAAACGUGAUAAUCAAAGGCACUUUCUAUUUAUCAAAUACCUGGUUUAUGCCACAUCUCCUGCUAGGCCCUCCCAGCAUGCUGGCUCCUCAGAACACCCUGCAGGUGGGAGCUGACAGCCGGGUCCCUGAGGCAGCACUCAGCACCCACGUGGUAGAGCCAAGGCUGGACAGGGAUGACUCCAACUCCCAGGAUUGUAUUAUGCUUAUAACGACUUCCUGCCUGUUUGUAUUUAAGACAAGGUCUCUCACUGUAGCCUUGACCUCCCGGGCUUAAACAGUCCUUCCACCUCAGCCUCUGGAGUAGCUGGGAGUUACAGGUGCACACCACCAUGCUUGGCUAAUUUUUGUAUAUUUUGCAGAGACAGGGUUUCACUGUGUUGCCCAGGCUGGUCUGGAAUUCCUGGGCUCGUGCGAUCCACCAGCCUCAGCCUCCCAAAGUGCCAGGAUUACAGGCGUGAGCCACAACACCCAGCCCCUGUCUCUUAAAGGUGAACAUUUUCCCUAAAUACAGUGAUACUCAGUUCAAGUAUUUGUAUCUUACUUACAUAGAAUACGGAAUUAUUUCUGUAAACAGAAUUUAGUAAAAAAUAUAAAAAUCAGCCAGGUGUGUUGGCUUACGCCUGUAAUCCCAGCACUUUGGGAGGCCAAGGUAGGCAGAUCACAAGGUCAGGAGAUCGAGACCACCCUGGCCAACAUGGUGAAACCCUGACUCUACUAAAAAUAUAAAAAUUAACUGGGCAUGGUGGUGUAUACCUGGAGUCCCAGCUACUUGGGAGGCUGAGGCAGGAGAAUCACUUGAACCGGGGAGGCGGAGGUUGCAGUGAACCAAGAUUGCACCACUGCGUCACUGCACUCCAUCCUGGUGACAGAGCGAGACUCUGUCU